rnacentral:rRNA from 1 species
AUUGAACGCUGGCGGCAUGCUUUACACAUGCAAGUCGAGCGGCAGCGCGGGGGCAACCCUGGCGGCGAGCGGCGAACGGGUGAGUAACGCAUCGGAACGUAUCCUGUAGUGGGGAAUAACUCAUCGAAAGGUGAGCUAAUACCGCAUAAGCUCUGAGGAGGAAAGCGGGGGACCGAAAGGCCUCGCGCUGCAGGAGCGGCCGAUGUCCGAUUAGCUAGUUGGUGAGGUAAAGGCUCACCAAGGCGACGAUCGGUAGCUGGUCUGAGAGGAUGAUCAGCCACACUGGGACUGAGACACGGCCCAGACUCCUACGGGAGGCAGCAGUGGGGAAUUUGGACAAUGGGGGAAACCCUGAUCCAGCCAUGCCGCGUGAGUGAAGAAGGCC